AAGUCGAGGGGAAACGAUAUUGGAAGCUUGCUUCCGAUAGGCGUCGACCGGCGCACGGGUGAGUAACGCGUAUCCAACCUGCCCAUCACUUGGGAAUAACCUUGCGAAAGUAAGACUAAUACCCAAUGACGUCUCUAGAAGACAUCUGAAGGAGAUUAAAGAUUUAUCGGUGAUGGAUGGGGAUGCGUUCCAUUAGGUAGUAGGCGGGGUAACGGCCUACCAAGGCGACGAUCAGUAGGGGUUCUGAGAGGAAGGUCCCCACAUUGGAACUGAGACACGGUCCAAACUCC
rnacentral:rRNA from 1 species